UACAUGGAGGAGCGUGAUAACGUUGAUUGGGCGGCGUUACGCGCUUCAUUAGCUGAUGAGCGGCCUGUGAGGAAUUUAGAGGGAGCCAGGAUUCUUGACUUUGAUGAGUGUUUGAUCCCGAUUCGGCACCAGCGGGUCCACCAGAGCCACCCACUCAGGCAUUUUCUCAUGAGUCUGCCGAGCCAGCGGUGUCUUCCCAUGUGACUGUCGAGCCACAGGAUUCGGCGCCAGUGGGUCCACAGGAGCGACCCAUUCAGGAGCAUUCUCAUCAGCCUGUCGAGGCAGAGGUGCCUUCUCAUGAGACUACCGAGGCGCAUCAUCUCGUCCAGGAGACUACCUCAUAUUCACCACCAGACCCAUCUCAGGAGCCUACUCAGGCGCCCGUUGACACACAGGUUCAUCCUUCGGCGCCCGCGGUGGCAACUCCUGACGAGGAAGAGUCCGAGUUUCCAGACCCAGGUCAUGAUGAGGUUCUGCCCGUGCGAGCGGGACCAGAUCCCAAGAAGAAGUACAUUCUAGUCAAGGGCGCACGGGCCAGGGGAAGAUGAGAUGAUCAUGACUUGGAGCGCCCGGUUAUUAAGAGGAAAAAGGGCGAUGGAGACGAUGGCGAGGGCGGUGGGAAUGGUAUGAGCCUUAGGCCUAGGGGUAGUCUCCGGCAUACUACAUGUGGGACCCAUCCUCGAUAGUGUAUAUACAUUAGUGUUGUACAGUUUAUCAUAAAUAUUAUAUAUUUUUUUACAUAUUUAUAAAUAUUAUCUUAGUCUU